rnacentral:rRNA from 1 species
UACAGAGGGGGCAAGCGUUAUUCGGAAUUAUUGGGCGUAAAGGGCGCGUAGGCGGCUUUUCAAGUGACGGGUGAAAUCCCUCGGCUUAACCGAGGAACUGCCUGUCAGACUGGAAGGCUUGAGACCGGGAGAGGUGAGUGGAAUUCCCAGUGUAGCGGUGAAAUGCGUAGAUAUUGGGAGGAACACCAGUGGCGAAGGCGGCUCACUGGACCGGUACUGACGCUGAGGCGCGAAAGCUAGGGGAGCAAACAGGG